UACGGAAGGCAGCAGUGGGGAAUAUUGCACAAUGGGCGCAAGCCUGAUGCAGCCAUGCCGCGUGUAUGAAGAAGGCCUUCGGGUUGUAAAGUACUUUCAGUCGUGAGGAAGGUGUUAAGGUUAAUAACCUUAGCAAUUGACGUUAGCGACAGAAGAAGCACCGGCUAACUCCAUGCCAGCAGCCGCGGUAAUACGGAGGGUGCGAGCGUUAAUCGGAAUUACUGGGCGUAAAGGGCACGCAGGCGGUUAAUUAAGUUGGAUGUGAAAUCCCCGGGCUUAACCUGGGAAUGGCAUUCAAGACUGGUUAGCUAGAGUCUUGUAGAGGGGGUAGAAUUCCAUGUGUAGCGGUGAAAUGCGUAGAGAUGUGGAGGAAUACCGGUGGCGAAGGCGGCCCCUGGGACAAAGGACUGACGCUCAUGUGCGAAAGCGUGGGGAGCAAACGAGGAUUAGAUACC
rnacentral:rRNA from 1 species